UUAGUGUCAAACACACAAGAUCUACAAAGCCAUAAACUCACAGCUUGGUGAUAUUACCAAGUACUAAUUAAGAAAAAAAAAGAAAAUUCCCUUUCAUGAUCAAAUUUUCAGCCCUGCCAAAGACGAAAAACAAGGCAAUUUGCAGCGGAUGGUGACGCCGGAGGGUGGGGACACUGAGGCUGAGCUCACAGCCAGGACGGGGACAGCAGAGUGACGGCCGAGACCAUCUGCCCCGCGAGGGAAGCAGCGCCCACCUUCCUUGGUGGUCCGGGAAGGCCGGACUGGCCCCUUGGGUCCCCACCGGCCUCAGCCACUGUGGGCUCGUCCAGCUUCAGGC
rnacentral:lncRNA from 1 species